rnacentral:sRNA from 1 species
UCAAAAACUAAUGGAUUGGUUUCAAAC